GAUGAACGCUAGCUACAGGCUUAACACAUGCAAGUCGAGGGGCAUCGAGGAGUUAGCUUGCUAAUUCUGUCGGCGACCGGCGCACGGGUGAGUAACGCGUAUCCAACCUGCCCAUGGCUAGGGAAUAGCCCGUUGAAAAGCGGAUUAAUGCCCUAUGGGGUCCUUUGCAGACAUCUAACGAGGACUAAAGGUUUACCGGCCAUGGAUGGGGAUGCGUCCGAUUAGGUAGUUGGCGGGGUAACGGCCCACCAAGCCCUCGAUCGGUAGGGGUUCUGAGAGGAAGGUCCCCCACAUUGGAACUGAGACACGGUCCAAACUCC
rnacentral:rRNA from 1 species